UGUUGCAAGGCAGAGACUGCUAAUGAAAGUAAAAGUAUACUUUUAUUGGUAAUGGGGGUGAGAUGUAUCCAAAAAUAGUGUGGGUAUAAUAUAGGAACCUGUGGCAGGGCACUGUUUGUGCCUGCCACUUUAAGGGGCCAGAAGGCAGCAGCUGGCAGGUGCCUGAUUAGGGCAGCCAUUUUAGAUUCAGGGCUGCCCAUAUAAACAGGUGCCCACCUCCUUCCAGACUGAGAACAACCUGUCCACAAUCACCCCGGUGAAAGGUUCUCAUCAACCACCAGUUCCCCGUCCCCUGUUGAACCUAGCUUAAAGCUCUUCCGAGAUCAGCCAACCUGCGGGAGAACAGAUGCUUGCCUCUAGGAGAGAGAUGAAGAUCAUCCCAUCCUAGUAAGCCUUCUUCCUGGAAGUGUUGGUCGUGGUUGUAGAAUCCGAAUCCCUCCUGAAGACACCAUCUCUAGAGCUGCUGGUUGACUUCCCUGAUGUGGGCAUCCUGGCACCUUCAGCUGUUGCCAACUGGAAGGAUGGAGUUUGUUUUAUAACAUCAUCCAGUAAAGUUACCAGCUUAAUUUGGAAUACUCUUGCACCUAAGUCUGAGGGAUUUUGUCCCAGAAACAAAUUUUCUUGAAUAGCAGGCCAUUUUGGAUUUGCAGUGAAUGUAAUAAAUAGAUCUGAGUGUCCAUAUUUGCUCACUAUUGCCAUAGUACCAUGAUCUCAUUCUCGCAUAUUUCUUGGUCCUCCUUGGAAUGAUGAUGGUAAAAUGACAGUAUUUCUUACUUGCAUACCAGAGGUUUCAGCAGUUUCUGUUAAGAAGUCCAUAAGACCACUGUAUUGUGCUACUCUAAGCUUUCCUUGCUGUUGCCUAAGGUAAUUUAAAUUGUUUGCCUCAACUUGUAAUUGUGAAUAUACAGUCCACUGUUGAGUCAAUUGUCCUCCACAUAAAAUUGAAUUAAAUUCAUUUUGAUGAAAUGCUGUUUGAGCAACUUUGAAUUGUAACAUGGAGUCUUCAAAAAUUAAAAAAAAAAAAAAAAAAAAAU